rnacentral:rRNA from 1 species
GACGAACGCUGGCGGCGUGCCUAAUACAUGCAAGUAGAACGCAGUUGCGAACGGGUGAGUAACGCGUAGGUAACUGCCUCAUAGCGGGGGAUAACUAUUGGCACCGAUAGCUAAUACCGCAUACUGUGAGAUGGACCUGCGUUGUAUUCGGUAGUUGGUGAGGUAAAGGGUCACCAAGGCGACGCUACAUAGCCGACCUGAGAGGGUGGACGGCCACACCGGGACUGGGGACCGGGCCAGGCUUCUACAGGAGGGAGCAAGAGGGAAUCAUCGGAAAUGGAGGGAAGUCCGACCGAGCACCGCCGGGGUAGUGAAGGAGGGGUGCAGGUCUGAAAAGUCUUUUGAUAGGGGAGCGGUAACGAACCAGAAAGGGACGGCUAACUACGUGCCAGCAGCCGCGGUAAUUC